GGGAGGGAGAAUGUUCGCUGCCAUGUCUAACCGGUGCUAACAACACUGAAGCUAACUAGCAAACUCACUCUAGCUAAGGACAAUUCCGGCGACCGGCGAAGUUUUACUCAAAUAAGCAUUUUGGGGGGGUAAACCAGAACAGACACCCGAGGACAGCCACAGAGUUCCCUGGCGCGGAGAAAGUAACAUCUUCAACUGGCGACGACAGAGGGACACCACCGGAGGAGUCAUUCCAAGCAACUCUGCUCAAACAAAUGGAUUGGAGAGUUAUAUUUGUCUGCGCAGUAGCAUGGCAUGUUUCACUGGUGUCACAAUCUUAUGCCACAGGUGGUGUGAAUACAUCUCUCUCUACAGCUCAGAGCAACUUGUCUCUGUGUUUCACCUGCAACGGUGAGAGAUGUCAAGAUGUGAAAAAGAUUUUCAACUCAAUGAGAGAUGACAAAAUUUGGACGCAAAGUACUGCAACGUCUGCCCUUCUUGGCUGUUCCCUGACCUCGUCUCCCUUUGCUGGGAAGUGUGUGCCAUGUGUUGAGGACCGCAAGGUCUACAUUGUUUGCCUUGACAUGCCCAAGGAUCUCAAACUGGACCUGGAGGAUGGUGAUGGCAACUCAUUUUCCUACACUGAAGCUAGUGGAGUCAGAGGUCUUGCUGGGCAUGGUGGAGCAAUGAUCAGCAUUGGCAUGUUAGCAGCUGCCGUCAUCUUUGUCGCUUACUACAGAAGCCAGACCAAAUCAAGUAUUGUCUAGUGUCAACUUCAGAAGUCCACUCAGAGGAACACCAGACCCAUUUAAAGUUAUUAAAGACUGUCACGUCUACUGCUCCCCCUCUCCGGCGCACAGAGGGAGGGGGGCAGAACAUGAGACAGAGCUGCAUUUCAUGACAAAAUGUGAAAAAUAUAAAACAAUUAGAGAGUGUAAUUUCCCCAAAUUUGAAACCCUUAUUCAAGGUUUCAAAGACCUCUCUGGUGAGAGGCUACCCUUCCUGUUGGGGGAAAGACGCAGAGAGCUGGGGGUUGGCAGCGCACUACAUUGCUGCCUGCCAUAAGAUGAGGGACAGUGUCUGACAGACCAAUCAACCUGCACAUGUCCUCUACUGUAUGCUUAUUGUUUAAUGUAUGGUUAUUUUGACCCUUGGUUAUUGUUGUUACUGUUGUCCCGUUGACAAUUUUGAUUUAUUAUUUUCAUGUUGUAAAUAUCCAAAAUAAGCUUUGGCAAUAUGUACAUUGUUACGUUAUGCCAAUAAAGUGAAUUGAAUUGAAUUGAGAGACACACACACACACACAGACACAGAGAGAGAGAAACAGAGAGAAACAGAGAGGGGGGAGGGAGAGAGAGCAC
rnacentral:lncRNA from 1 species